rnacentral:rRNA from 1 species
UGGGGGAUAUUGCACAAUGGGGGGAACCCUGAUGCAGCGACGCCGCGUGGAGGAAGAAGGUUUUCGGAUUGUAAACUCCUGUCGUACGGGACGAUAAUGACGGUACCGUACAAGAAAGCCACGGCUAACUACGUGCCAGCAGCCGCGGUAAAACGUAGGUGGCAAGCGUUGUCCGGAAUUACUGGGUGUAAAGGGAGCGCAGGCGGACCGGCAAGUUGGAAGUGAAAUCUAUGGGCUCAACCCAUAAAUUGCUUUCAAAACUGCUGGCCUUGAGUAGUGAGAGGUAGGCGGAAUUCCCGGUGUAGCGGUGGAAUGCGUAGAUAUCGGGAGGAACACCAGUGGCGAAGGCGGCCUACUGGGCACCAACUGACGCUGAGGCUCGAAAGCAUGGGUAGCAAACAG